rnacentral:rRNA from 1 species
UAGUUUGACUCCGUGGCUCGAGGACGACGCUGGCGGCGUGCUUAACACAUGCAAGUCGAACGAUGAACCAGGGCUUGCCCUGGGGAUUAGUGGCGAACGGGUGAGUAACACGUGGGCAACCUGCCCCAGACACCUGGAUAACCUCUCGAAAGAGUGGCUAAUACCGGAUAUGACCACUUCGGGCAUCCGACGGUGGUGGAAAGGAUUCUGGUCUGGGAUGGGCCCGCGGCCUAUCAGCUAGUUGGUGGGGUAAUGGCCUACCAAGGCGACGACGGGUAGCCGGCCUGAGAGGGCGACCGGCCACACUGGGACUGAGACACGGCCCAGACUCCUACGGGAGGCAGCAGUGGGGAAUAUUGCGCAAUGGGCGAAAGCCUGACGCAGCGACGCCGCGUGAGGGACGAAGGUCUUCGGAUUGUAAACCUCUUUCAGCAGGGACGAAGCGAAAGUGACUGUACCUGCAGAAGAAGCACCGGCUAACUACGUG